rnacentral:rRNA from 1 species
AGUGAACGCUGGCGGUAGGCCUAACACAUGCAAGUCGAACGGCAGCACAGUAAGAGCUUGCUCUUACGGGUGGCGAGUGGCGGACGAGUGAGGAAUACAUCGGAAUCUACUUUUUCGUGGGGGAUAACGUAGGGAAACUUACGCUAAUACCGCAUACGACCUACGGGUGAAAGCAGGGGAUCUUCGGACCUUGCGCGAUUGAAUGAGCCGAUGUCGGAUUAGCUAGUUGGCGGGGUAAAGGCCCACCAAGGCGACGAUCCGUAGCUGGUCUGAGAGGAUGAUCAGCCACACUGGAACUGAGACACGGUCCAGACUCCUACGGGAGGCAGCAGUGGGGAAUAUUGGACAAUGGGCGCAAGCCUGAUCCAGCAAUACCGCGUGGGUGAAGAAGGCCUUCGGGUUGUAAAGCCCUUUUGUUGGGAAAGAAAAGCAGCAGGUUAAUACCCCGCUGUUCUGACGGUACCCAAAGAAUAAGCACCGGCUAACUUCGUG